UCAGUGGAGUUGUCAAUGUCUUAUAUGUAUAUAUUCACUUAUUGUUUGAUCUAAAAUUGAUAUGCACCUGUUUUUAUGUUUUAGGUUACACUAUGGAAAAACCAUGGGAUAUUUCGAAUUGUUCUUCUAUACUUCCAACUAUCUCACUUGAUGAAAAGGUUGAUGAGGAUGAACAUGAAGUUCAAGACUCGGAUUGGUUGGUCUUAUGUCAACUAACUGCCAAGAGCAUCUUUGCAUAUUAUGAAAACUACAUACAUAAGACUCCAUGCCGAACAUCCAUUCGAACAGGUCAUAAAUUCAUAGAGGAGAUCCUGAAUGGAAGUGAAAUAAGAUGUUAUCAAGCUUUUCGUUUAGGAAAAUCUGUGUUUUUGGACUUAUGCUACGAAUUGAACCACAAGUAUGAUUUGGAGCCCACCAGAGGAAUGUCUACUUAUGAAGAGGUGGGCAUUUUCUUAAUGACAUGUGCCCAUGGUGUUGAUAAUAGAUUGUUGCAAGAAAUAUUCAACCAUUCUGGUGAGACUAUCUCAAGACACUUCCACAGGGUCCUAAAGGCUAUUGCUAAAUUAGCCAAUGAUAUUAUUGCACCGCAUCCUGAGUAUAACAAGGGAAAAGGGUAUCAUAAGCCUCAACACCAGCGAUACAUGCCAUUCUUUAAAGUGAGUUUACUUUUUUAAUGUGUAUAUAAUUAUAAAUGUAUAGUUUAAAUUGAUUAUAAACUCUUUUAUGAUUUUCAGGAUUGUAUUGGAGCAAUUGAUGGUACACAUGUAAAGGCUCAAUUACCACAAGGACAAGCAAUACCAUACAUUGGACGAAAAGGGUACGCCACUCAAAACAUUCUUGCAGUGGUAGAUUUCAAUAUGUGUUUUACAUUCGCUUGGGCUGGAUGGGAAGGAGCUGCACAUGAUAAUAGGAUUUUUGGUGAAGCUAUUCGUAAUCCUGAACUUAAUUUUCCUAUUCCAAAAGGAGAAAAAUAUUACUUGGUUGAUGCUGGAUAUACACAUAUGCCGGGAUAUAUGGGUCCUUAUAGAGGUGAGAAUAUAAGAUAUCAUCUUGAUGAUUUUCGUCGGGCUAGGACAAAGCAAUUACGUCAACCGAGAAACUUAAAGGAAAGGUUCAAUUAUUACCACUCUUCGUGUAGAAAUUGUGUUGAACGAACUUUUGGAGUUUGGAAAGCAAGAUGGAAUAUUUUGGCUGACAUGCCUUAUUUUCAUAUUGACACCCAAAGAGAAAUUGUGUUAGCAACUAUGGCUAUCCAUAAUUACAUAAGAAAGAAGAAUAUUCCAGAUAAUGCAUUUCAGGUAGCAGAGGAUGAAAAUUAUGAACCAAAUAAUGAUCGCGUUGUUGAAGCAUUUGUUGAGGCUUCGGUUGUAGAAGAUGCAGGUGGAUCUAAGAAUUCCAGUUGGAUAGCCAUGCGAGAUUCAAUUGCUAUGGAGAUUGCUAGUCAAAAUUGAAAAAUAUAAUUUAAAUUGUAAGAAGUUUCAAAUAUUAUUGCUUUGUUUUGAUGUUGGAUGAUAUCUAUAGAUGCUAUGUUUUUUUCGUUAUAUAUGGAAAGACCAAAUAUAAUUAUGGUAAUAUAUUGGGG
rnacentral:lncRNA from 1 species